AUGUAUUUUGGAAUUUGGAAAUGCAAAGCAUCCUUUUCAAGUAAUUUUGUCCCCUGUUUUAUCAUUACAUUAAGAAUUUUGAUGGCUGCAUUUUGUUUUCACAAAUUGUCUUUUGUUAUAUCCAAUAAUAUGUGUGCUAGAAGCUAUGGAACACACCUAUAUCCAAUAAACCGUUGCCUGAAAAAUUUAUGCCUGGUCGAAGUGGUGCAUCGGGUAACAUUUGCUCCAGCUCCGCCCCUGGCGGUGGUGAUGCAGUCGGAGCAUGCAGAUGUUGUGGCAUCGCCGGGUGAGGGAGUCCUGGAUUAA
rnacentral:rRNA from 1 species